rnacentral:rRNA from 2 species
UCCGUAGGUGAACCUGCGGAGGGAUCAUUACCGAGUUUACAACUCCCAAACCCAAUGUGAACGUUACCAAACUGUUGCCUCGGCGGGAUCUCUGCCCCGGGUGCGUCGCAGCCCCGGACCAAGGCGCCCGCCGGAGGACCAACCAAAACUCUUAUUGUAUACCCCCUCGCGGGUUUUUUUUUAUAAUCUGAGCCUUCUCGGCGCCUCUCGUAGGCGUUUCGAAAAUGAAUCAAAACUUUCAACAACGGAUCUCUUGGUUCUGGCAUCGAUGAAGAACGCAGCGAAAUGCGAUAAGUAAUGUGAAUUGCAGAAUUCAGUGAAUCAUCGAAUCUUUGAACGCACAUUGCGCCCGCCAGUAUUCUGGCGGGCAUGCCUGUCCGAGCGUCAUUUCAACCCUCGAACCCCUCCGGGGGGUCGGCGUUGGGGAUCGGCCCUCCCUUAGCGGGUGGCCGUCUCCGAAAUACAGUGGCGGUCUCGCCGCAGCCUCUCCUGCGCAGUAGUUUGCACACUCGCAUCGGGAGCGCGGCGCGUCCACAGCCGUUAAACACCCAACUUCUGAAAUGUUGACCUCGGAUCAGGUAGGAAUACCCGCUGAACUUAAGCAUAUCAAUAAGCGGAGGA